GACGAACGCUGGCGGCGUGCUUAACACAUGCAAGUCGAACGGAAAGGCCCUGCUUUUGUGGGGUGCUCGAGUGGCGAACGGGUGAGUAACACGUGUGUAACCUGUCCCUGACUUUGUGAUAACUUCAGGAAACUGGGGCUAAUACCGGAUAGGAUCUCCUGCUGCAUGGUGGGGGUUGGAAAGUGUCGGCGGUUGGGUCUCGUCUCGCGGCGUAUCAGCUAGUUGGUGAGGUAGCGGCUUACCAAGGCUAUGACGGGUAGCCGACCUGAGAGGCUGAUCGGCCACACUGGAACUGAGACACGGUCCAGACUCCUACGGGAGGCAGCAGUAGGGAAUCUGCCGCAAUGGGCGAAAGCCUGACGGAGCAACGCCGCGUGAGUGAUGAAGGUCUUCGGAUCGUAAAACUCUGUUAUUAGGGAAGAACAAAUGUGUAAGUAACUAUGCACGUCUUGACGGUACCUAAUCAGAAAGCCACGGCUAACUACGUG
rnacentral:rRNA from 1 species